rfam:Erinaceus europaeus unplaced genomic scaffold scaffold00562, whole genome shotgun sequence
CAGGCCAAGAAUGGAUGUGCGUUUAAGGUUUACUUUUUAUAAAAAGCAUUGGUAUCAGUUCUUGCCUGGAAGUUGCAAAAAGAAAGAAAAAAAGUCUCACUGGGAAGGGGAGAGGGAGCUGCUGCUGAUAAACCAGAG